rnacentral:rRNA from 1 species
UACGAAGGUGGCAAGCGUUGUUCGGAUUUACUGGGCGUAAAGGGUGCGUAGGUGGCGGGGUAAGUCAGGUGUGAAAUCUCGGGGCUCAACCCCGAAACUGCACUUGAUACUGCCUUGCUCGAGUACUGGAGAGGAGAUUGGAAUUUACGGUGUAGCAGUGAAAUGCGUAGAGAUGUGGAGGAACACCAGUGGCGAAGGCGACUCUUUGGCCUGUAACUGACGCUGAGGCGCGAAAGCGUGGGGAGCAAACAGG